AAACAAGGUUUCAUUAGCUGAUGAUGAAGCAGAAAAGUAGCAAAAUGGAGAAUUCUUGCCUAAACUUUGUAUUAUGGUUUCAAUACACUCCGCAUUGAAUGUAUUAUGGUUCUAAGCUAAAUGUCAUGUUCGGUUUACUGAAACAUUGUAUACUUCAUGGCAUCCUGUUAUGUAUUUUCAUGCAAUGUAGUGAUUCCAUUAGAAACAAAUUAAGCUCCAUGUAGAACACUGAACCUGAAUAGAUAUAACAACAGAACAAACAAGCUAAUCUCCAACUGCCAGAUUCUAUAGGGACUAGGGUUAAACGAUUUCUUAUUGUCAAACAAUUUGGGCAGGAAACAAGCAACAGUACCCUACAGAUUAUCUGGUUUUCCAAACUUUUUAUUUAACCGUUAAAAAGUUGCAUUAAAUGCAUGAAUACACUGAAGCAUUAGGUUUCUCACAAGCAGAACUUGACUCAGUCCUAUAGUUAUAAUUUUUAUUGUGAUUUAUAUUUAAGCAUACCUCUUCCAUCACGUGCUAUGAAGAGUUCCAUUUUUCAAAAUCUUUCAGAGCCCAAAAUUCUUAGCUGAUUAAGCACGGGAGAGGCCUCAACAACUUGUGGUGCAAAUUUAGGUACCUAGUCAUUGACAUGAAAAAU
rnacentral:misc_RNA from 1 species